AGCGUACACGGUGGAUGCCCUGGCAGUCAGAGGCGAUGAAGGACGUGCUAAUCUGCGAUAAGCGUCGGUAAGGUGAUAUGAACCGUUAUAACCGGCGAUUUCCGAAUGGGGAAACCCAGUGUGAUUCGUCACACUAUCAUUAACUGAAUCCAUAGGUUAAUGAGGCGAACCGGGGGAACUGAAACAUCUAAGUACCCCGAGGAAAAGAAAUCAACCGAGAUUCCCCCAGUAGCGGCGAGCGAACGGGGAGCAGCCCAGAGCCUGAAUCAGUGUGUGUGUUAGUGGAAGCGUCUGGAAAGGCGCGCGAUACAGGGUGACAGCCCCGUACACAAAAAUGCACAUACUGUGAGCUCGAUGAGUAGGGCGGGACACGUGGUAUCCUGUCUGAAUAUGGGGGGACCAUCCUCCAAGGCUAAAUACUCCUGACUGACCGAUAGUGAACCAGUACCGUGAGGGAAAGGCGAAAAGAACCCCGGCGAGGGGAGUGAAAAAGAACCUGAAACCGUGUACGUACAAGCAGUGGGAGCACAGAGCAAUCUGUGUGACUGCGUACCUUUUGUAUAAUGGGUCAGCGACUUAUAUUCUGUAGCAAGGUUAACCGAAUAGGGGAGCCGAAGGGAAACCGAGUCUUAACUGGGCGUUAAGUUGCAGGGUAUAGACCCGAAACCCGGUGAUCUAGCCAUGGGCAGGUUGAAGGUUGGGUAACACUAACUGGAGGACCGAACCGACUAAUGUUGAAAAAUUAGCGGAUGACUUGUGGCUGGGGGUGAAAGGCCAAUCAAACCGGGAGAUAGCUGGUUCUCCCCGAAAGCUAUUUAGGUAGCGCCUCGUGAAUUCAUCUCCGGGGGUAGAGCACUGUUUCGGCAAGGGGGUCAUCCCGACUUACCAACCCGAUGCAAACUGCGAAUACCGGAGAAUGUUAUCACGGGAGACACACGGCGGGUGCUAACGUCCGUCGUGAAGAGGGAAACAACCCAGACCGCCAGCUAAGGUCCCAAAGUCAUGGUUAAGUGGGAAACGAUGUGGGAAGGCCCAGACAGCCAGGAUGUUGGCUUAGAAGCAGCCAUCAUUUAAAGAAAGCGUAAUAGCUCACUGGUCGAGUCGGCCUGCGCGGAAGAUGUAACGGGGCUAAACCAUGCACCGAAGCUGCGGCAGCGACGCUUAUGCGUUGUUGGGUAGGGGAGCGUUCUGUAAGCCUGCGAAGGUGUGCUGUGAGGCAUGCUGGAGGUAUCAGAAGUGCGAAUGCUGACAUAAGUAACGAUAAAGCGGGUGAAAAGCCCGCUCGCCGGAAGACCAAGGGUUCCUGUCCAACGUUAAUCGGGGCAGGGUGAGUCGACCCCUAAGGCGAGGCCGAAAGGCGUAGUCGAUGGGAAACAGGUUAAUAUUCCUGUACUUGGUGUUACUGCGAAGGGGGGACGGAGAAGGCUAUGUUGGCCGGGCGACGGUUGUCCCGGUUUAAGCGUGUAGGCUGGUUUUCCAGGCAAAUCCGGAAAAUCAAGGCUGAGGCGUGAUGACGAGGCACUACGGUGCUGAAGCAACAAAUGCCCUGCUUCCAGGAAAAGCCUCUAAGCAUCAGGUAACAUCAAAUCGUACCCCAAACCGACACAGGUGGUCAGGUAGAGAAUACCAAGGCGCUUGAGAGAACUCGGGUGAAGGAACUAGGCAAAAUGGUGCCGUAACUUCGGGAGAAGGCACGCUGAUAUGUAGGUGAAGUCCCUCGCGGAUGGAGCUGAAAUCAGUCGAAGAUACCAGCUGGCUGCAACUGUUUAUUAAAAACACAGCACUGUGCAAACACGAAAGUGGACGUAUACGGUGUGACGCCUGCCCGGUGCCGGAAGGUUAAUUGAUGGGGUUAGCGCAAGCGAAGCUCUUGAUCGAAGCCCCGGUAAACGGCGGCCGUAACUAUAACGGUCCUAAGGUAGCGAAAUUCCUUGUCGGGUAAGUUCCGACCUGCACGAAUGGCGUAAUGAUGGCCAGGCUGUCUCCACCCGAGACUCAGUGAAAUUGAACUCGCUGUGAAGAUGCAGUGUACCCGCGGCAAGACGGAAAGACCCCGUGAACCUUUACUAUAGCUUGACACUGAACAUUGAGCCUUGAUGUGUAGGAUAGGUGGGAGGCUUUGAAGUGUGGACGCCAGUCUGCAUGGAGCCGACCUUGAAAUACCACCCUUUAAUGUUUGAUGUUCUAACGUUGACCCGUAAUCCGGGUUGCGGACAGUGUCUGGUGGGUAGUUUGACUGGGGCGGUCUCCUCCUAAAGAGUAACGGAGGAGCACGAAGGUUGGCUAAUCCUGGUCGGACAUCAGGAGGUUAGUGCAAUGGCAUAAGCCAGCUUGACUGCGAGCGUGACGGCGCGAGCAGGUGCGAAAGCAGGUCAUAGUGAUCCGGUGGUUCUGAAUGGAAGGGCCAUCGCUCAACGGAUAAAAGGUACUCCGGGGAUAACAGGCUGAUACCGCCCAAGAGUUCAUAUCGACGGCGGUGUUUGGCACCUCGAUGUCGGCUCAUCACAUCCUGGGGCUGAAGUAGGUCCCAAGGGUAUGGCUGUUCGCCAUUUAAAGUGGUACGCGAGCUGGGUUUAGAACGUCGUGAGACAGUUCGGUCCCUAUCUGCCGUGGGCGCUGGAGAACUGAGGGGGGCUGCUCCUAGUACGAGAGGACCGGAGUGGACGCAUCACUGGUGUUCGGGUUGUCAUGCCAAUGGCACUGCCCGGUAGCUAAAUGCGGAAGAGAUAAGUGCUGAAAGCAUCUAAGCACGAAACUUGCCCCGAGAUGAGUUCU
rnacentral:rRNA from 1 species